rnacentral:rRNA from 1 species
AAUCUUGGGCAAUGGGCGCAAGCCUGACCCAGCCAUGCCGCGUGUGUGAAGAAGGCCCUCGGGUUGUAAAGCACUUUCAGUGGUGAAGAAAAGCUCGAGGCUAAUACCCUCGGGUCUUGACGUUAACUACAGAAGAAGCAACGGCUAACUCCGUGCCAGCAGCCGCGGUAAUACGGAGGGUGCGAACGUUAAUCGGAAUUACUGGGCGUAAAGCGCACGUAGGCGGUUCGCUAAGUGGGAUGUGAAAGCCCUGGGCUCAACCUGGGAACUGCAUUUCAGACUGGCGGACUAGAGUACGGUAGAGGGCGGUGGAAUUCCCUGUGUAGCGGUGAAAUGCGUAGAUAUAGGGAGGAACAUCAGUGGCGAAGGCGGCCGCCUGGAUCGAUACUGACGCUGAGGUGCGAAAGCGUGGGGAGCAAA